rnacentral:rRNA from 1 species
GAUGAACGCUGGCGGCGUGCUUAACACAUGCAAGUCGAACGGACUGAGGGAGCUUGCUCCCAAAGUUAGUGGCGGACGGGUGAGUAACGCGUGGGUAACCUGCCCUAUGCAGGGGGAUAACGUUCGGAAACGAACGCUAAUACCGCAUAACCUAGUCGGUUCGCAUGAACUGACUAGCAAAGAUUUUAUCGGCAUAGGAUGGACCCGCGUUAGAUUAGCUAGUUGGUGAGAUAACAGCCCAUCAAGGCAACGAUCUACAGCCGGCCUGAGAGGGUGAACGGCCACACUGGGACUGAGACACGGCCCAGACUCCUACGGGAGGCAGCAGUGGGGAAUAUUGCACAAUGGGCGCAAGCCUGAUGCAGCGACGCCGCGUGAAGGAUGAAGGUCUUCGGAUCGUAAACUUCUAUCAGCAGGGAAGAAUACCAUGACGGUACCUGACUAAGAAGCCCCGGCUAACUUCGUGCCAGCAGCCGCCGUAACAC